UACGGAGGGGGCUAGCGUUGUUCGGAAUUACUGGGCGUAAAGCGCACGUAGGCGGUGGCGCAUGUCAGAUGUGAAAGCCCUGGGCUCAACCCUGGGAUGCCGAUCGAUACUGUCGGACUAGAGUACGGAAGAGGCGAGUGGAAUUCCCGGUGUAGCGGUGAAAUGCGCAGAUAUCGGGAGGAACACCAAUUGCGAAGGCAGCUCGCUGGGACGUCACUGACGCUGAGACGCGAAAGCGUGGGGAGCAAACAGG
rnacentral:rRNA from 1 species